AAUGAAGUUCCGGAAAUUGCAGUCGACUAGUGCAGUGUCACCUGUGGAAGAAGAAUUGGCAGAACAAGAAAUUCCAGCGAACAUGGCAGGGAACGAACAGAAAUCGUUUAGGGACUAUGCCAUGCUGAAUGUCACGGAUAUACAGUCGAGUAUUAAGAGACCGGCAAUCAAUGCAAACAGUUUUGAGAUAAAACUAGGAACAAUUCAGAAGCUAUAGAAUACAUGUCAGUUUUGGGGUAGUUCGAUAGAUGAUCC
rnacentral:lncRNA from 1 species